GCGCGUUUGCACAGCGGGCGCUUGCAGGCUCACCUGGUCGUCUUCUAUUGUUUGACACUGCCCCACCAGCUACAAGAAGGCGCGAGACUUGCUUCGCGGGCAAAGGUAAGGCACACGGGCCACGGUAGGGAGCCAAGACGUCUCACAUUGAUCGGUUUUCGCUCCUCAUCUCGUUGUGCGAUUUCGAGCUCCUGCGUGAAACCACCCGCUGCCUCGUGUCGGCAGUCCGACAAGCGCGCUCCUCUCCCGGCGUCAGCACACCAAAGGUCAUUUGUGGGGCUCUCCUCCAAGCAAGGGAGGAGGCACGUCACCAUGGGUCUUCUGGAGCGCAGAAAGGCUAUCGAGGAGGAGAUCGCGAGAACACAAAAGAACAAAAAGACGGAGUACCAUGUCGGUCGUCUCAAAGGGCAGCUGGCGCGCAUCAAGACAGAAAUGAUGGAGAACGCCGCUCGCGCGGCCGGCGCGAAGGGUGGGGACGGCUUCGACGUUCGCAAGAGCGGCGAUGUGCGCUGCGCCCUGGUCGGGUUUCCGUCCGUCGGCAAGUCGUCCUUUCUUUCGCGUGUCACGCAGACAGAGAGUGAGGCGGCCGGCUACGAGUUCACCACGCUGACGUGCAUUCCUGGAAAGCUGAUGCACAAGGGGACAGAAAUCCAAAUCCUCGACCUGCCUGGCAUUAUUGAAGGUGCCGCAGAGGGUAAGGGCCGCGGUCGCCAGGUCAUCGCGACGGCGCGCACUGCUGACAUGAUCAUCCUCAUGCUCGACGCUGCCAAGGCAGAGGCACAGCGCUCGAAGAUCGAGAGCGAGCUUGAGUCCGUUGGUAUCCGUCUGAAUCAGCGCUUCCCCAACGUCACCUUCAAGAAGAAGGCAUCGUGCAGCAUGAAUGUCGUAAGCUACAGCUCCACUGUGCCGCAAACAAGGGGCGUCUCCGAGCAGAUGGUGAAGGAGGUUCUGAAGGACUAUGGUAUCUUUAACGCCGAUGUGGCCCUGCGCGAAGACAUCACUGUUGACCAGUUCAUCGAUGUAAUAGAAGGAAACCGUAAGUACAUGCCGUGCCUGUACGUGUACAAUAAGAUUGACACGAUCACUAUGGAGGAGAUGGACCGCCUGAGUCGCCUGCCGCACUCUGUGGUGCUGUCGCUGCACUGGGAUCUCAACGUCGACGAGGUCAUCGAUGAGGUGUGGGAGCACCUCAACAUCAUUCGCAUCUACACAAAGAAGCAUGGUGAGCACCCUGACUUCGGCAAGCCAUUCGUCGUGAAGCGCGACGCAAGUGUGGAGCACAUUUGCAAGCGGAUUCACAAGGAUAUUGCGUCACGCUUCAAGUACGCCCUUGUGUGGGGCACGAGCGCGAAGCACCAGCCACAGCGCGUCGGCAUUUCACAUGAGCUAGAGGACGAGGAUGUUCUUCAAAUCAUGCUAAGAACAGCCAAUGAGUAGCGUGUCUGUUUUUUUUUGCUGUUGCUGAAGUGGAUCGAUGCGCAUGUGAAGUCUUAGCGCCGCGUAAAUCCCAGCGUUAAACCGAAAAAGGAGGAGGGGAAACAGAAAGCGAAACACACCUGGGUCUGUGUGCGUCGAGUUACGCCCUGCCGGCAUCGUCUUGUCAGAGGAUGUCUAGGUGCAGAGGAGACUGACGAGGAAUCCGCGGAACAGAACGCACAUCAGUGUGCACCGUGUGCAGCUGACUAUGCUUGUGCGCAGGCAGAGAGUGCGUCACAGAAGGCAGACUGGUUUCUUCCUACCGCUCAUGUCCGCUCCUCUUCUCGUGCGCUUGCCUUCGUACCUCAAGGGAGGCAUUCCUCUAUUACCCCUAUCGAGCGUGACCGUAUUCCUGGACAGCGUCUCCGUCUCUUGCAUUCUCUUCCCGCCGGUACGUCCACCGCAUCCUUGCCUCACCUAACUUUUCUCUUG
rnacentral:misc_RNA from 1 species